rnacentral:lncRNA from 1 species
AUAAAUAUGGAUUAAAAUUGAGAAAACCCAUUAAUUAUAAGUAGGGCCGGCUCUAGGAUGAGGCCAUUAAAAUCCUUACGUUUAAGGUUUAUUAUUAAAGUUUAACUUUAGGCCGCGAAUUUCAUUCAUCGCCCUUAAUUAAAAAGUAAUAUAAUAGAAUCUGGUCAAAUCAGCCGAAAUACAUAAUCCUAUUAAAUGGAUUUUUUUUUCUAUUUUUGCUAGAUUUUUGGAAGUUAAAUAAUUUCCAGUUGAAGCCACAAAAAAACUGGUUUUACAGCUAGUGACUAAUGAUUAUUCCUUUCUGGAAUCACUGACGAAUUACAGAAAUCUACAGGGCUAAAAAUGAACCGUUAAGGGUCAAAACUGCCCUCAACGUAUUGACUCUGGAACAAAAU